UACGAAGGGUGCAAGCGUUACUCGGAAUUACUGGGCGUAAAGCGUGCGUAGGUGGUUCGUUAAGUCUGUCGUGAAAGCCCCGGGCUCAACCUGGGAAUGGCGAUGGAUACUGGCGGGCUAGAGUGCGGUAGAGGAGAGUGGAAUUCCCGGUGUAGCAGUGAAAUGCGUAGAGAUCGGGAGGAACAUCAGUUGCGAAGGCGGGUUGCUGGGCCGACACUGACGCUGAUGCGCGAAAGCCAGGGGAGCGAACGGG
rnacentral:rRNA from 1 species